UACGUAGGGGGCAAGCGUUGUCCGGAUUUAUUGGGCGUAAAGAGCUCGUAGGCGGCUCGAAAAGUCGGCGGUGAAAACUCGGGACUCAACUCCGAGGCGCCCGUCGAUACUGUCGAGCUUGAGUCCGGUAGGGGAGUGUGGAAUUCCUGGUGUAGCGGUGAAAUGCGCAGAUAUCAGGAGGAACACCGAUGGCGAAGGCAGCACUCUGGGCCGGCACUGACGCUGAGGAGCGAAAGCCAGGGGAGCGAACGGG
rnacentral:rRNA from 1 species